UAUUGGUGUUUCUUAAAACUUUAACUAUCACGAUCGAAUUAUAGACUUUAAUUGAAGCUAAUGGGACACAUCUGACCGCAGAUUAAACGUUUAGCCGGUGUAGUAGAGACGAAAUCCAUACCUCAGAGGUUGCCAGCUAAACCAGUUGAACAAUAUUUCAUCACAAAUGAACAAAUUGCUCCAAGAUACAUACAGUUCGAGCUCAUAUGAUUUUCUUCCUCCAAAGAGUAGUCGAAGAUUGAGAGCAUUCCUGCUAUCAAGAAACCUGUUAUCAAGAAGCCUGAUAUCAAAAAACCUGAUAUCAAGACAUGCAGCACUGUCAAAUCGCUCCAGUACCUUGGUCGAGUGAAAUCGUUUCUGCUCAGAUG